UACGUAGGGGGCAAGCGUUGUCCGGAAUCAUUGGGCGUAAAGAGCGUGUAGGCGGCCUGGUAAGUCCGCUGUGAAAGUCCAGGGCUCAACCCUGGAAUGCCGGUGGAAACUGUCAGGCUCGAGUCCGGAAGAGGCGAGUGGAAUUCCUGGUGUAGCGGUGAAAUGCGCAGAUAUCAGGAGGAACACCAAUGGCGAAGGCAGCUCGCUGGGACGGUACUGACGCUGAGACGCGAAAGCGUGGGGAGCGAUCCGG
rnacentral:rRNA from 1 species